GGUUAUUUACAAAGCUAUAGUAAUUGAGGUAACCACGUAUUACUGAGUUAUAACGUAGUAUGAUAUCCUC
rnacentral:tRNA from 1 species